rnacentral:rRNA from 1 species
GACGAACGCUGGCGGCGUGCUUAACACAUGCAAGUCGAACGGAAAGGCCCUGCUUUUGCGGGGUGCUCGAGUGGCGAACGGGUGAGUAACACGUGAGUAACCUGCCCUUGACUUUGGGAUAACUUUAGGAAACUGGGGCCAAUACCGGAUAGGAGUUCUUGCUGCAUGGUGUGGGUUGGAAAGUUUCGGCGGUUGGGGAUGGACUCGCGGCUUAUCAGCUUGUUGGUGAGGUAGUGGCUUACCAAGGUUUUGACGGGUAGACGACUUGGGAGGGUGACCGGCCACAUGAGGCCUAAGGUAGGGCCCAGAAUCCAACGGGAGGCAACAGGGGGAAGUAUUACACAGUGGGGGGGAGCCAGAUGCGGCAGCGCCGCGUGCGGAAUAACCGCCUACGGGUUAUGAACCACUGUCGCCUGAGACAAGGCGUGAUUGACGGUAAUGGGUAAAGAAGCACCGGCUAACUACGUG